UCCUCAUUUCACGUGCUCGCUCGACGGUCAGAGUGGCGAGAGAGUGUGCGAAAUGAAGAGA
rnacentral:pre_miRNA from 1 species